UCUCGCCCACUUGGCCUCCCUGUGUGCCGCUGAGUUAAUUUACCCAGUUGCAGCAGCUGCUGGUUGGGCUGCUGACAUUAGAGCCAGACUGUCCUGGCUUCUAUUGCUGACAAGUGUUGCCUGUGCCCGGGACUCGCUGCCUGACCUUACCUGCCCUUGAGGGUUGGAGGUGAGGUGGCGCAGACUCAACACACAGACUCCGAGAGCAGCUCAGCUAUGAAGGCAGAAGUUCUAUGGGUUGAGGCUCUUGUGAGAUUCCCAGGGGUCCCCCCGAAGCUACCUUUUUUCUUCCAUCAGAUACAAAUGGAAAGAAAGCUCCCCUUUCCUCUUCCGGACUAGUGAUUUUAAUGAACACCCCACACCCCCGAAGCCCAGUUUUAAAAGUUACAGCAAAUGGCUCAAGGAUCAAUUUUUCUAAGAGCUCAUUUUUCUUUCUCACUUUUUAAAACCUCAGACUUCUCCUGAGAAGUCUGCUAUAACACUCUCACAGGCACCAGGGACUCAAUUAUUGAAGUUCUGCACGAAGCUGUCAUCUUUCUGCGUCAAGCACCCUGCUCUUUCUGGAAGUCUCACAACUUGGAAUGCUGUUCUCUCGUGAAGAACACAGCGUGAGGAGCGCCCACUGCACCUACGCUGCCUUGGACUUGGGAAAUUAAGAUCUAGCUCUGUGGUUCUCAACCUCCCUGGUGCUGCAACCCUUUAAUACAGCUCCUCACGUGUGGUUCCCCUCCCCAACCAUAAAAUCAUAUUGCUGCUACUUCAUAACUGUAGUUCUGCUACUGUUAGGAAUUGUAAUGUAAAUACCUGAGAUGCAACCAUCCACAGAGCGGAGACCCACAGGUUGCACAGUGUGGGUGUAGAUGAAAGCAGAGUUUCGGGGUCAAGUCAUAACAUUCGAGUUGAGUGUCACCGGCACCUGCUAAGAAGUUAUUUAUAGCUAAUCUUUUUGGACCCUUCUGUGUUAAAGAAGAAACAUUACCAUCUACUCUUGUGGAGUUGUGGAGAGAACUAAAUUUCAUAAUGGUAGUUUUCAAGGCACGUUACUCUGAUAUGUGCAACACUGGCACAUUAUUUUAGACUGAAAGAAUUAGAAGAAGAAGAAAAAAAUCAUUGGAAAGGGAAGAACUCUCUGACCUUCCCAUAUCUUUCUGAAGUGGGGACUUGAGGGUUCUUGGCGAAGUCGGUUGAACGGUGUUCUGUUAGGGCAAACACGUGCGCUGAAGCAGUCAUAGGAGAGAAGAUGUUCUGCUAAAGCAAGCACGGGAAAGGACACGUGAUGAGGGAUUCUUUGCUAAGGACACUCAUGCAUUGGCCCACCUUUCAUUGUGUAGUUGAGCUGCAUUUGUUGGGAUUCCAGAGAGAGAAAUGCGCCAAAAAACUUCUGGGGGUGUGCUGCAGUUUCUUGCCGCUUCCAAGAACUCUGGCUGAUUGGAUGCACAGGCUGAGGCAAAGUCCAUGGAGAGCAUGUGAUGUUUGGGGGAUAUAAAUAGGACUCCACGGAAUGAUGGAGACAGAGCUUAGCUUGCUGGUCCAAUUAGCUGUGCAAUGCUUGUGGGACUCACAGGUUGGCUGACCUUUGCUUCCCUGAGAGAGGGAUAGCUGAGAAUUUCUCCUGGUGUUCCUGUUGGUUCCUCCUGUUGACUCGAGCUGAGGCUGAGGCUUGAGCAGUGCCACCACUGCUGAUGCAUGUUUGCUCUUCCAACUUUACCAAACUGGACUGCUGGUGUAUCUGUGAGGUGUUUGCUACUGGACCAAACUGCCUCUGUCUGCUAACCUGUGAACUGAAAUGCUGAUUCCCAGACAACACAGAUGGGGGUUGCUCCAAAGAACCUUUCUAAACAGGUCCACAUCCCCAUAUCCUUUCUUUCCCACUACCUCUGGUGGGUGGUGGACUAAAAGGGAGGUUGAAACAUUUAAGAACCAUCAUUAAAAAAUAAGGUGUGAAGGGCUGGAGAGAUGGCUCAGUGGUUAAGAGCACUGACUGCUCUCCCAGAGGUCCUGAGUUCAAUUCCCAGCAACCACAUGGUGGCUCACAACCAUCUGUAAUGGGAUCUGAUGCCCUCUUCUGGUGUGUCUGAAGACAGCUACAAUGUACUCGUAUAAAUAUAAUAAGUAUUAAAAAUAAGGUUUGAAAAUUAAAAUUACUUUUUUUUUUUUAUCUCUGAAGCAGUUCAUAAAAUCUAAGAAGGAUCUUCUGGUUGUCCUUGAAGCAGUCUUUAAAACCCUCACUGAGAGAUCUUUUUUAUGUUUAAAGGGAAGGAGUGCCCUUAGAUCUGAAAGGAGGUUCACAGAAAAUCAUCUAAUCCAAAGGUCCUUGUUCUUCCUGAAUCAUCAGGGGCAAUAAAAUUUCUGCAUGUAUUUUAGACAAGAAAAUUAAAGCCAUAGUAAUGUCCUUCUUGAUAUUGGUAUUGGGCUAACCACAUGAAAUAGGUUUACAUCCUGGUGUGUACAAAACUCAGAAGCACAACUGGAAGCUGAGGAAGAGAGAAAAAUCUGAAAGUUUAGUGAUGAGGAAGGGAACACCGGGCUCAGUAACCAGGCUGUGCACUUCCUGAUCACAGAAGCCAGGGUGAUUUGAUUAGGGAGCCUACAUGUAGUCAUAUAAGGAAUACAACAUAGGUUAUGUACAUUCCUAUGGGGCCUAGUUAAAGGUAUGCAUUUAAAAAUAUUACCAUAUAUUUAUUAAUUGUUAAAAAAAAAGAUACCAGAGAGUACAAAGCAAACGUCCAAAGGAAGGAAACAGUCAUCAGUCCUACCCAGCUAUGAGGUCUGUGAAACAGCGGCCAGCACAACAUCAUCAACCUGAGGGAGUGCCAUGUGUAACCAACAUGUAAUUAGACUUAAGAGCAACUCAACAAGAAGAAAUUCAUUCCUGGUGCUGGAAACCUAGCCAACGUCUGAAGUCACGUAUCUUAGAACAGAUACUACAACUGCCAUUUUACCAAACCAGUGUAAUCGCUAACAGCAUUUUAAAUAUUCCCUGAUAACCUCAACAAGUGUAGUCCUCGUUCCUGAAGAGGGGAGUUUUUCUUUGCAAUAGACAGAGAACAUUUCAGGACACCACAGUCGAUCAAAAUGCAGAGUUGUGGAGUCCGGUCUAAAGGAUGCGUCUGUAAUACAGCACCUGCACCUAGAGCUCAGGGAUGACUGCAGAUGAGGGGAUGGAAGGACUGUAGGAGCCAGAGGACCAGGCAUUCUCUGUGAAACUGUGUCUCCUAAGAAUGUCCGAGGCGACAUCUAUAAAUCUUAGCAAUAACCAGGCCCAAAGGCGAGCUAAACAGGAACAAUAAUAGGCUGAUGUGGACCCAGGAAAUCAAGGAGGCCCCAGUCCCAGGCAAACGGUAACAAAGGGGUGCUUCAGAGCAGGGGAAACAGUGUGCAGGGAAGAGCACACCAGCUGGUUAUCCAAUACCAGACGGUCAGCCAUAAAAUACAGAUAGUAAUAACAUAUUGCACACUGAGCAGGUUGUGUUUACACACAUACAUAUAUGCAUGUAAUAACAUUGAAUUUAAAAAGAGGGCAUGGACUUGAUAGAGAGCAAGGAGGGGCAUAUGAGAGUCUCCCUGUCCAGAAAAGGGAAAGGAGAAUUAGUGUAAUUAUCAACUCAAAAAAAAAAAAAAAAAAAAAACAGGUUAAAAA